rnacentral:lncRNA from 1 species
ACAGGAAGAGAACAUCAAAAAAAAUUGGGAAUUAGCAAGAGAGAAAAAAAUAAUUAAAAAAAUAAAAUAAAAGAUAUCCAAAAAAAUCCCCUAUUUUGUCCCACUAAUCCCAGUACUCAUAACUCCCUUAGAAUUUUAGCUUUACUAAAACUCUAUUAGACAGCCGAGCAAAAGUAACAUCCACGCUCCCGCAGGGAUUGAAACACAGGACCUCCAACACACCAACCCCCUCACCACUCGAACCAGGAGGCUCAUUCUGAUAUAAGUUAAC